rnacentral:lncRNA from 1 species
UCAUAGAUUUAGGACUCUUUAGGUUCUCAUCUUUAGAAUUCUCUUCUCUCAUUCUUCUUUCACUUCUCUUAUCUUCUCUAACAAAAAUACAUAAAAUAAUAAUAAUAAUAAUAAUAAUAAUAAUUAGAAGAGGAUUGUUCUGAUCUAAACUCCUUGAUUGCAUAUCAAAAUAAUUCGAUAAAUUAGAUCCAUGCUAGAAAUAUGGAUCUUUAUAGUAAAGUAGAUGAGCUAUCCCAUAAAUUAGAUCAUCUACUGACUAUUGGACACUCUCCAUCUCUAUUUUUUCUUCCUGCAUAAUAAGUUUGUGUAAUAUA